AAGCACGAAAGCGUGGGGAGCGAACAGGAUUAGAUACCGUGGUAGUCCACGCCGUAAACUUUGCUCACUCGCUGUUGGCGAUAGACAGUCAGCGGCCAAGGAAAACCGAUAAGUGAGCCACCUGGGGAGUACGNCCGCAAGGUUGAAACUCAAAGGAAUUGACGGGGGCCCGCACAAGCGGUGGAACAUGUGGUUUAAUUCGAUGAUACGCGAGGAACCUUACCUGGGCUUAAAUGUGAAGUGCAUUGAGUGGAAACAAUCAUUUCGUUCGGGACCCUUUACAAGGUGCUGCAUGGUUGUCGUCAGCUCGUGCCGUGAGGUGUCGGGUUAAGUCCCAUAACGAGCGCAACCCCUAUUGUUAGUANCCAGCGCGUGAUGGCGGGGACUCUAGCGAAGCUGCCGGUGUAAACCGCGAGGAAGGUGGGGAUGACGUCAAAUCAGCACGGCCCUUAUGUCCAGGGCUACACACGUGUUACAAUGGCCGGUACAGCGGGCAGCUAGGCAGCGAUGUCAUGCUAAUCCCGAAAGCCGGUCCCAGUUCGGAUUGGAGUCUGCAACCCGACUCCAUGAAG
rnacentral:rRNA from 1 species